GUAUGCAACCUACCUCAAUCAGGGGGAUAGCCCGAAGAAAUUCGGAUUAACACCGCAUAAAAACACAGGAUAGCAUUAUCCAAUGUUCAAAUAUUUAUAGGAUUGAGAUGGGCAUGCGUGUCAUUAGUUAGUUGGCGGGGUAACGGCCCACCAAGACCACGAUGACUAGGGGAUCUGAGAGGAUGACCCCCCACACUGGUACUGAGACACGGACCAGACUCCUACGGGAGGCAGCAGUAAGGAAUAUUGGUCAAUGGAGGCAACUCUGAACCAGCCAUGCCGCGUGCAGGAAGACAGCCCUCUGGGUCGUAAACUGCUUUUAUUCGGGAAUAAACCUACUUACGUGUAAGUAGCUGAAUGUACCGAAGGAAUAAGGAUCGGCUAACUCCGUGCCAGCAGCCGCGGUAAUACGGAGGAUCCAAGCGUUAUCCGGAUUUAUUGGGUUUAAAGGGUGCGUAGGCGGCUUAUUAAGUCAGGGGUGAAAGACGGUGGCUCAACCAUCGCAGUGCCCUUGAUACUGAUGAGCUUGAAUACACUAGAGGUAGGCGGAAUGUGACAAGUAGCGGUGAAAUGCAUAGAUAUGUCACAGAACACCGAUUGCGAAGGCAGCUUACUAUGGUGUCAUUGACGCUGAGGCACGAAAGCGUGGGGAUCAAACAGGAUUAGAUACCCUGGUAGUCCACGCCCUAAACGAUGAAUACUCGCUGUUAGCGAUACACAGUUAGCGGCUAAGCGAAAGCGUUAAGUAUUCCACCUGGGGAGUACGCCCGCAAGGGUGAAACUCAAAGGAAUUGACGGGG
rnacentral:rRNA from 1 species